CCCCCCCCCAAAAAAAAGCUCAAGUAUUAAACGAUGUCAUUCAUCCAACUUUAUCACUUGCCUUAUUAAAGAAGGUCUACGCCUUUUUUUUCACAUCAUUACUUAACAUAUUAACAUAUUCAUGUCAAAGUCAAACGUUUUUAGCUUGAACAAAACUAUUAAUAAGAUAAAGAAUUCUUAAAUAAAGACAUUCGGAUAUCGUUUAGAAAUAUUUUUUAUGUAGUAACUGGGGAUAAAAUAUGUUUAAUAAUUAGUCUUGUUUUUUUAAUUAAAAAGGUUACAACAAAUUAUUCUAAAAGUUGAAACCUUUUAGACAAAAAAAAAAAGGCUUCAUUAAUUCAAAAUCAUCACACUUUAAAAAGAUUACAACCGGAAAUUCGAAUAGGUCCUUGACAAUAAACUACAAGUAGUGCAAUCAACCAUAUGGAAUAAUAAACAAAAGGGUCAGCUUCAAUUCUAAAUCAAAACAUAUUUUAUUUUCUGUGUAGUACUACACGGGAAAGUUCUUGGACACCUGUUUAAAAAAAUGCUAUUUUACAAAGCGUAUAUCAACUCGAUCUGUCUACCUGUCUGG